rnacentral:rRNA from 1 species
UACGUAGGUGGCAAGCGUUGUCCGGAUUUACUGGGCGUAAAGAGCGCGCAGGCGGUUGAUUAAGUCGAAUGUGAAAGCCCCCGGCUCAACUGGGGAGGGUCAUUCGAUACUGAUCAACUUGAAGGCAGGAGAGGGAAGUGGAAUUCCGGGUGUAGUGGUGAAAUGCGUAGAUAUCAGGAGGAACACCGGUGGCGAAGGCGGUUCUCUGGGCAUUACCUGACGCUGAGGAGCGAAAGUGUGGGGAGCGAACAGG